rnacentral:rRNA from 1 species
CUGAACUUAAGCAUAUCAAUAAGCGGAGGAAAAGAAACUAACAAGGAUUCCCCUAGUAACUGCGAGUGAAGCGGGAAAAGCUCAAAUUUAAAAUCUGGCGGUCUCUGGCCGUCCGAGUUGUAGUCUGGAGAAGUGCUUUCCGCGCUGGACCGUGUAUAAGUCUCUUGGAACAGAGCGUCAUAGAGGGUGAGAAUCCCGUCUUUGACACGGACUACCAGUGCUUUGUGAUGCGCUCUCGAAGAGUCGAGUUGUUUGGGAAUGCAGCUCAAAAUGGGUGGUGAAUUCCAUCUAAAGCUAAAUAUUGGCGAGAGACCGAUAGCGAACAAGUACCGUGAGGGAAAGAUGAAAAGCACUUUGGAAAGAGAGUUAAACAGUACGUGAAAUUGCUGAAAGGGAAACGCUUGAAGUCAGUCGCGUUGUCCGGAACUCAGCCUUGCUUUUGCUUGGUGCACUUUCCGGAUGACGGGUCAGCAUCGAUUUUGACCGUCGGAAAAGGGCUGGAGUAAUGUGGCACCUCCGGGUGUGUUAUAGACUCUGGUCGCAUACGGCGGUCGGGAAUGAAGAACGCAGCGCGCCGCAAGGCAGGGGUUCGCCCACUUUCGCGCUUAGGAUGCUGGCAUAAUGGCUUUAAACGACCCGUCUUGAAACACGGACCAAGGAGUCUAACAUACCUGCAAGUGUUUGGGUGGUAAACCCGAGCGCGUAAUGAAAGUGAAAGUUGAGAUCCCUGUCGUGGGGAGCAUCGACGCCCGGACCAGACGUUCUCUGACGGAUCCGCGGUAGAGCAUGUAUGUUGGGACCCGAAAGAUGGUGAACUAUGCCUGAAUAGGGUGAAGCCAGAGG